rnacentral:tRNA from 1 species
AAAAACUUAGGAUAAGUAAACCCCAAGCCUUCAAAGCUUAUUAUAGAAGUUAGAUUCUUCUAGUUUUUG